AUGAACGCUGGCGGCGUGCCUAAUCCAUGCAAGUCGAGCGAACAGACGAGGAGCUUGCUCCUCUGACGUUAGCGGCGGACGGUUGAGUAACACGUGGCUAACCUACCUAUAAGACUGGGAUAACUUCGGGAAACCGGAUCUAAUACCGGAUAAUAUAUUGCACCGCAUGGUUCAAUAGUGAAAGACGGUUUUGCUGUCACUUAUAGAUGGAUCCGCUCCGCAUUAGCUAGUUGGUAAGGUAACGGCUUACCAAGGCGACGAUGCGUAGCCGACCUGAGAGGGUGAUGGGCCACACUGGAACUGAGACGCGGUACAGACACCUACGGGAGGCAGAAGUAGGGAAUCUUCCGAGAUGGGCGAAAGACUGACGGAGCAACGCCGCGUGAGUGAUGAAGGUCUUCGGAUCGUAAGACUCUGUUAUUAGGGAAGAACAAAUGUGUAAGUAACUAUGCACGUCUUGACGGUACCUAAUCAGAAAGCCACGGCUAACUACGUG
rnacentral:rRNA from 1 species